CCUAACGGGUGGCAGCAGUGGGGAAUAUUGGACAAUGGGGGGAACCCUGAUCCAGCCAUGCCGCGUGUGUGAAGAAGGCCCUCGGGUUGUAAAGCACUUUCAGUGAGGAAGAACGCCUGGUGGUUAAUACCCAUCAGGAAAGACAUCACUCACAGAAGAAGCACCGGCUAACUCCGUGCCAGCAGCCGCGGUAAUACGGAGGGUGCGAGCGUUAAUCGGAAUUACUGGGCGUAAAGCGCGCGUAGGUGGCUUGAUAAGCCGGUUGUGAAAGCCCCGGGCUCAACCUGGGAACGGCAUCCGGAACUGUCAAGCUAGAGUGCAGGAGAGGAAGGUAGAAUUCCCGGUGUAGCGGUGAAAUGCGUAGAGAUCGGGAGGAAUACCAGUGGCGAAGGCGGCCUUCUGGACUGACACUGACACUGAGGUGCGAAAGCGUGGGUAGCAAACAGGAUUAGAUACCCCUGUAGUC
rnacentral:rRNA from 1 species